rnacentral:rRNA from 1 species
GACGAACGCUGGCGGCGCGCCUAACACAUGCAAGUCGAGCGAUAAGCGGACUUCGGUCCGUGGAAAGCGGCGAACGGGUGAGUAACACGUGAGAAACCUGCCCCGGACUCUGGAAUAACAGCGGGAAACCGCUGCUAAUACCGGAUACAUCAUCACCACCGCAUGGCGGAGAUGGGAAAGAUUUAUCGGUCUGGGGAUGGUCUCGCGGCCUAUCAGCUAGUUGGUGGGGUAACGGCCUACCAAGGCGACGACGGGUAGCUGGCGUGAGAGCGUGGCCAGCCACACUGGGACUGAGAUACGGCCCAGACUCCUACGGGAGGCAGCAGUGGGGAAUCUUGCACAAUGGGCGAAAGCCUGAUGCAGCGACGCCGCGUGAGGGAUGAAGGCCCUAGGGUUGUAAACCUCUUUCAGCAGGGACGAAGCGAAAGUGACGGUACCUGCAGAAGAAGCCCCGGCUAACUACGUGCC